rnacentral:rRNA from 1 species
AGAUUGAACGCUGGCGGCAGGCCUAACACAUACAAGUCGAACGGCAGCACAGUAGGAGCUUGCUCUUACGGGUGGCGAGUGGCGGACGGGUGAGGAAUACAUCGGAAUCUACCUUUUGGUGGGGGAUAACGUAGGGAAACUUACGCUAAUACCGCAUACGCCCGUUCGGGGGAAAGCCGGGGGACCAGCAAUGGCCUGGCGCUGAUAGAUGAGCCGAUGUCGGAUUAGCUAGUUGGUGAGGUAAUGGCUCACCGAAGGCG